UUAAUCAUUUUUUUGCGUCAGACGUUAAUUUAUUGUAAAUAACAGGUAAUAAUAAUAAUUCCAUGUAUUAAGAUAAGAGAAGCAGUACACCUUUGCUCGUCCUUACUCAAAUUAGUCAAGGCCUGGCUUUCCGCAUUAUAACAAAUUAACGCGCUCAUUAGUUUCUUUGUUCUCUGAGUGAAUCGUUAAUUAUUUUGUAAUAUAGUUUAUUAGUGGUUGUAAAAGGGUUAUUCUUGCAGUCUGCUUCUUCAACACAGAAAGAGCAAAUGGUUGUCUGUUUCCUGAUUGCUUCCCACGUAACUAAUUAUUACCCAUAUUGAAGCAAGUAAACCGCAGGAGCUUACAGGAUAAAUUCAGGAUGGAUUGUACUAUUCCGUACGAAGUUUUAAUAUUGUUCAAAUGCAGUGGACAGAAGCGCAAUAACUAAAAACUACAAUGGACUACUAUUACAGAGAAAAGAAGGAUUAAUAUAAAUUUGAUUAUUAAAGAGGCAAACGUUUGGUGAAUUAGUAUGGGUUUUAUUGGAUUUCCAUUAAACUAUUGGAUGUUUUUUGCUGUGGAGUAAAAAUUAAUUUCCAUAUAGACUACUUCUAUGUAUGUCCACAUAUUCAAACAAGCAUGAGGAGCUAGUUACAGAAGCAAAAACAGGAAUAAAGAGUGGCAGGGGAAGAUCUAUCUACAUCUACACCCUGACGAUGCAGAUUCAAUGGUUGUUUUGGCAUUUAUUUCUACAAUCAUCCACCCAAGGACCACCAGUGUCUGCUUUGGAUUUCCCAUACGCAUUGCUUUUUCUUUUAGUAUUUUUUAAUGGUUUAUGAAAAUUUGUAAACAAAAGUGGGUUUAUUGAACAAUUUUUUUUAAUAAAUGUAACAUUUGCCGUUAUUACUUAGUGAGAUAUAAUUACAAUUAGAUUGAAACAAACUUUAAAAACACUGUUUAAAACUUUGAAAAAACUUCUUGUUAUUUAUUAUAAUUGUUACUACUGAUGAUUUCCUUUUUCAAAGUUUGU